rnacentral:rRNA from 1 species
CCCUUAGAUGUCCGGGGCCGCACGCGCGCUACACUGAAGGAAUCAGCGUGGCUUUCUCCCUGACCCGAAAGGGUUGGGAAACCCGUUGAAUCUCCUUCGUGAUAGGGAUUGGGGCUUGAAAUUGUUCCCCAUGAACGAGGAAUUCCCAGUAAGCGCAAGUCAUCAACUUGCGUUGAUUACGUCCCUGCCCUUUGUACACACCGCCCGUCGCUACUACCGAUUGAAUGGUUUAGUGAGGCCUUCGGAUCCGCGACUCGUUUUGUGGAGAAGUUGGACAAACUCAGUCAUUUAGAGGAAGUAAAAGUCGUAACA